rnacentral:rRNA from 1 species
CCUACGGGAGGCUGCAGUGAGGAAUAUUGGUCAAUGGACGAGAGUCUGAACCAGCCAAGUAGCGUGAAGGAUGACUGCCCUAUGGGUUGUAAACUUCUUUUAUAAAGGAAUAAAACGAGGCACGUGUGCCUUUUUGCAUGUACUUUAUGAAUAAGGCUCGGCUAACUCCGUGCCAGCAGCCGCGGUAAUACGGAGGAUCCGAGCGUUAUCCGGAUUUAGUGGGUUUAAAGGGAGCGUAGAUGGGUUGUUAAGUCAGUUGUGAAAGUUUGCGGCUCAACCGUAAAAUUGCAAUUGAUACUGGCAGUCUUGAGUACAGUUGAGGUAGGCGGAAUUCGUGGUGUAGCGGUGAAAUGCUUAGAUAUCACGAAGAACCCCGAUUGCGAAGGCAGCUUACUAAACUGUGACUGACAUUGAUGCUCGAAAGUGUGGGUAUCAAACAGGAUUAGAUACCCGGGUAGUC